rnacentral:rRNA from 1 species
AGGGAAUCUUCCACAAUGGACGCAAGUCUGAUGGAGCAACGCCGCGUGAGUGAAGAAGGUUUUCGGAUCGUAAAGCUCUGUUGUUGGUGAAGAAGGAUAGAGGCAGUAACUGGUCUUUAUUUGACGGUAAUCAACCAGAAAGUCACGGCUAACUACGUGCCAGCAGCCGCGGUAAUACGUAGGUGGCAAGCGUUGUCCGGAUUUAUUGGGCGUAAAGCGAGCGCAGGCGGAAUGAUAAGUCUGAUGUGAAAGCCCACGGCUCAACCGUGGAACUGCAUCGGAAACUGUCAUUCUUGAGUGCAGAAGAGGAGAGUGGAACUCCAUGUGUAGCGGUGGAAUGCGUAGAUAUAUGGAAGAACACCAGUGGCGAAGGCGGCUCUCUGGCCUGCAACUGACGCUGAGGCUCGAAAGCAUGGGUAGCGAACAGGAUUAGAUACCUGGUAGUCCAUGCCGUAAACGAUGAGCGCUAGGUGUUGGGGGACUUUCCGGUUCUCAGUGCCGCAGCAAACGCAUUAAGCG